AGACCUCUGAUCAGAAAAGACUACCCGCUGAGUUUAAGCAUAUCACUAAGCGGAGGAGAAGAAACUAACCAGGAUUUCCCUAGUAACGGCGAGCGAACCGGAAAGAGCCCAGCUUGAAAAUCGCGG
rnacentral:rRNA from 5 species